rnacentral:lncRNA from 1 species
GGGUUGAAUUAUGCCUCGAUCGUGGGCUGGAAGAUCGCCGCCUUGCCGAUUACUAGGCUCUAAGGUGGUUCUGGUGGGUCUACCUCCUUUCUAGACUCUAAGGAGGUGCUCGUGGCUACUCAGGUUGUACUGGUGGCUGGGAAACCAGAUUUGGUAGGGGUGCCACCGUAGGAGGUGCUAGUGGUGCCACCAAGGGAAGUACUAGUGGCACCACUGAAGGAGA